GUCACAUCAGGAGAACAUUAAGUAUUUGUAGCGUGUGAUUCCCUUGUGUUUUCAGUCUGUGAAACAGCUGUUUGUCCCUUCACCAGGCAGUGAUGGCAGCAGCAGCGUUCAGGAGCAGAGGACUGGCUGGUGUCAGAAACACCAACGUUUUAAUCCUCAUCUUUCUGCUGUCCCUGGUUUAUGUCACAAAUUCACUGAUGAAAAUUCAUUGAGAGUAACAAACUAGAGACUACAUCCAAA